UGAAGGCAGCAGGGGGAUUGGUUUCUCCAGUGUAGAGCCCGCACCCCACCCCAUAGGGGAGACACCCAAAACCCAGCGCCUGUUUAGGGGAAGGACUGGUGCCCUGGGGCCAGUGACAGGACAACACCUGCCUCAGUGAGGGGGCCAAGGCAAGUCUGCCACAGGAGCUAGAUGCAAAUCAACCUUUGUGCAAAUUCACCGAUCAAGAAAUUCAGUCCACGUUUCCUUCCUCAUCUAGGAAGAGCUAAGGGAAGUGAGCGCCUUCUGCUCCAUGCAUGGCUCUACAUUUCCUCCCUGCACACCCUUGCUGAAAAGGCCUUUAUUUACGUGCCUGAAUAUGGACACUGGAGGCUCCCAGGUCCAUGGGAAGCAGAACAUAAGUUAGAGCAACCAUGAGGUUGCUCUGACACCCUAGGAAUCUGCAGGAGCCUUGUAGUCCACAGCAGCUUUCAGGGGAUGUAACAACUGCUUCAGCCUGGACAAUGACCCGCGAAACAUUCAGCCCUGGCAUAAGCUAGUGCAACUCUACUGGAGACACGUCAUGUGCUCACUCACAGCCGGGCCAAUUGUGGCCGAGGAGCGCAAGGUGCUUUUUGCAACAGCAGCAAAAUGAAUGGUGGGAAAUUGCAUCAUCCCCAUUUUAGCGACUCAGUGCUGGGAAAGGCUGAAAGAACUGGCUUUGAUCAGAAAACCCAGCCAGUGCCUUUCGGCUGAAGUACCAGCACUUCCGAAAAGUUACCUCCCUUUUCACGCUUAUCCCGAAACCAUUCUAUGGCUUCCUAGUGCUCGAAAGAACCUGAGCGCAGGAGAGACAGGCAUGAUAAUGUAACACCGACAGACCCUGGUCGUCAGCGGGCAGGAUCGAAUCUGGAGCUUAGUGCAUGAGCCAAAAGCCAUAUGGCUCUUAGCUACGGCUGUAGAGCAGACUCAUAAUCUCUCUCUAAGGGGUCUCUGUACCACUAGAUAGGACAGAACCCCACACCCCGGCGGUGUGUGGGUUACAAUAUGGCAACCAGGACAAAAAGGCAAGCAGCCAGUGAGCUUCCAUGUGCCUGCUAAACCCAGCUCAUCUCGUUACCAGAUUGGUUACUAAGCUCCAAGCAGUGACACUUGUGCAAAUGCACAGAAGACCAUAGGACUGCUGCACAAGUGUCAGGGAGAGCAUAAGUGAGCCUGCGGGCCCUUUAGUGCUGGCGAUGAGGCAUAAGGAGGAAAAGGCCCAGCUUCAUUCUCAGAGCCCAGGCUCCGUUUACGGGCCUGGGAGCUGGGAAACAAACCCGUGUUUUUAAUUGUAAACUGAGCACAUUUAAUAGUGGGUCCCUGAGAUGGCAAACAUGGACCCUUAAAAGGUAUUUGCACAGGUGCCUUUCAGACUGGACAUGCCUUACCAACAGGAAAGGGACAAAUCUGACUCCAGUGGAGCCCGAUUGUUUGUUUGUUUUUGAAGUAAAAAUGAAAGUUAACAAGUGACCUGUGAAUUCUUAAAUGUCGGGUAGCUUCUCAGUCUGAAAUACACUUUGUCAACGGGGCUUAACUAGCUGCCUGUAAACACUCCGGGUCAUAAAACAGUUCAGUGGGGACAGGCGGUGAGUGGGAGGUGGCUGGGGCAGAAAGGGUGCCCCCAAGUUAGCGGUGAAAGUGAACUAAAUACCAGAGAGGCAGUUCCCGCCCCUGCGGUGUAUUGACCCUGGGGAAAUCCUGUUCUCAGCAGCUCACGUUUCCUGGGUCUUCUCUCUACCGUCACAUGCAAAGCCAGAAGCACAGAGCCCUGUGACUUCGGUUAGGAGCUGCUGGAGGAAGUUUGGAAAGACGUUCUGUAGCUUUACAUCAGGGGAGAGAAGUGGAAGCACGAGGGCAGC